rnacentral:rRNA from 1 species
CGGUCCAGACUCCUUCGGGAGGCAGCAGUGAGGAAUAUUGCACCAUUGGAGUAAUUCUGAUCCAGCAACGCCGUCGUGGAGGAUGACGCAUUUCGGUGGGUAAACUCUUUUAUUAAGGGAAGGUAAUGGCGGUCCUUAAUGAAUAAGCACCGGCUAACUCCGUGCCAGCAGCCGCGGUAAUACGGAGGGUGCAAGCGUUACUCGGAAUCACUGGGCGUAAAGGGUGCGUAGGCUGGCUUUUAAGUCAGGUGUGAAAUCCAAUGGCUCAACCAUUGAACUGCACUUGAAACUGGGAGCCUAGAGUUCAGAAGGGGCAGAUGGAAUUAGUGGUGUAGGGGUAAAAUCCGUAGAUAUCACUAGGAAUAUCAAAAGCGAAGGCGAUCUGCUGGGAUGAUACUGACGCUGAGGCACGAAAGCGUGGGGAGCAAACAGGAUUAGAUACCCUGGUAGUCCACGCCCUAAACGAUGAAUGCUAGUCGUCGGGAAGCUCGUCUUUUCGGUGACGCACUUAACAGAUUAAGCAUUCCGCCUGGGGAGUACGGUCGCAAGAUUAAAACUCAAAGGAAUAGACGGGGACCCGCACAAGUGGUGGAGCAUGUGGUUUAAUUCGAAGAUACACGAAGAACCUUACCUGGCCUUGACAUCCCAAGAACUUUCCAGAGAUGGAUUGGUGCUAGCUUGCUAGAACUUGGUGACAGGUGCUGCACGGCUGUCGUCAGCUCGUGUCGUGAGAUGUUGGGUUAAGUCCCGCAACGAGCGCAACCCUCGUCUUUAGUUGCUAACAGUUAGGCUGAGCACUCUAAAGAGACUGCCUCCGUAAGGAGGAGGAAGGUGAGGACGACGUCAAGUCAUCAUGGCCCUUACGGCCAGGGCUACACACGUGCUACAAUGGGGCGUACAGAGAGCUGCAAUACCGCGAGGUGGAGCCAAUCUCUUAAAGCGUCUCUCAGUUCGGAUUGUUCUCUGCAACUCGAGAACAUGAAGCUGGAAUCAGUAGUAAUCGCAGAUCAGCUAUGCUGCGGUGAAGACGUUCCCGGGUAACGUACCCGCAACCAGUCACGACCAGGGAG